GAAAUGCGAUAAGUAAUGUGAAUUGCAGAAUUCAGUGAAUCAUCGAAUCUUUGAACGCACAUUGCGCCCGCCAGUAUUCUGGCGGGCAUGCCUGUUCGAGCGUCAUUUCAACCAUCAAGCCCCGGGCUUGUGUUGGGGACCUGCGGCUGCCGCAGGCCCUGAAAACCAGUGGCGGGCUCGCUGUCACACCGAGCGUAGUAGAUUCUCAUCUCGCUCAGGGCGUGCUGCGGGUUCCGGCCGUAAAACAGCCUUAUUUUACCCAAGGUUGACCUCGGAUCAGGUAGAAAGACCCGCUGAACUUAAGC
rnacentral:misc_RNA from 1 species